rnacentral:rRNA from 1 species
GACGAACGCUGGCGGCGUGCCUAAUACAUGCAAGUCGAGCGAAGUUUUUCUGGUGCUUGCACUAGAAACACUUAGCGGCGAACGGGUGAGUAACACGUAAAGAACCUGCCUCAUAGACUGGGACAACUAUUGGAAACGAUAGCUAAUACCGGAUAACAGCAUUAACUGCAUGGUUGAUGUUUAAAAGUUGGUUUUGCUAACACUAUGAGAUGGCUUUGCGGUGCAUUAGCUAGUUGGUGGGGUAAAGGCCUACCAAGGCGACGAUGCAUAGCCGACCUGAGAGGGUGAUCGGCCAUACUGGGACUGAGACACGGCCCAGACUCCUACGGGAGGCAGCAGUAGGGAAUCUUCCGCAAUGGGCGAAAGCCUGACGGAGCAACGCCGCGUGAGUGAAGAAGGAUUUCGGUUCGUAAAGCUCUGUUGUUAGGGAAGAAUGAUUGUGUAGUAACUAUACACAGUAGAGACGGUACCUAACCAGAAAGCCACGGCUAACUACGUG